UACGGGGGGGGCAAGCGUUGUUCGGAAUUACUGGGCGUAAAGGGCUCGUAGGUGGCCAACUAAGUCAGACGUGAAAUCCCUCGGCUUAACCGGGGAACUGCGUCUGAUACUGGAUGGCUUGAGUUUGGGAGAGGGAUGCGGAAUUCCAGGUGUAGCGGUGAAAUGCGUAGAUAUCUGGAGGAACACCGGUGGCGAAGGCGGCAUCCUGGACCAACACUGACACUGAGGCACGAAAGCUAGGGGAGCAAACGGG
rnacentral:rRNA from 1 species